UACGUAGGGAGCGAGCGUUGUCCGGAAUCAUUGGGCGUAAAGGGCGCGUAGGCGGCCUUCUAAGUCGAACGUGAAAUCCCCGGGCUCAACCCGGGAACUGCGUCCGAUACUGGAAGGCUUGAAUCCGGGAGAGGGAUGCGGAAUUCCAGGUGUAGCGGUGAAAUGCGUAGAUAUCUGGAGGAACACCGGUGGCGAAGGCGGCAUCCUGGACCGGCAUUGACGCUGAGGCGCGAAAGCCAGGGGAGCAAACGGG
rnacentral:rRNA from 1 species